GAGUAGCAACAACAGUGGAGUCGGUGGAGGAGGAGCUAGGGUUUCAAUCCCAAGCACUGUGAAGAAAACGAUCCACAACAUCAAGGAGAUCACUGGGAAUCACAGUGACGAUGAGAUAUAUGCAAUGCUCAAGGAAUGUUCGAUGGAUCCCAAUGAGACUGCACAAAAACUUCUUUAUCAGGAUACAUUCCAUGAAGUAAAAAGGAAACGCGACAGAAG
rnacentral:misc_RNA from 1 species